AGAGUUUGAUCUUGGCUCAGAAUCAACGCUGGCGGCGUGCCUCAGACAUGCAAGUCGAACGAUUAAACUUUCCUUCGGGAAAGAUAUAAAGUGGCGCACGGGUGAGUAACACGUAAGUAAUCUACCUUUGAGUGGGGAAUAACUCGGGGAAACUCGAGCUAAUACCGCAUAACGCAGCGGCACCGCAAGGUGACAGUUGUUAAAGGAGCAAUCCGCUUGAAGAGGAGCUUGCGGCAGAUUAGGUAGUUGGUAAGGUAAUGGCUUACCAAGCCUGCGAUCUGUAUCCGGUCUAAGAGGACGGUCGGACACACUGACACUGAAUAACGGGUCAGACUCCUACGGGAGGCAGCAGUCGGGAAUUUUGGGCAAUGGGGGAAACCCUGACCCAGCAACGCCGCGUGAAGGAUGAAGUAUUUCGGUAUGUAAACUUCGAAAGAAUAGGAAGAAUUAAUGACGGUACUAUUUAUAAGGUCCGGCUAACUACGUGCCAGCCGCCGCAGUAAC
rnacentral:rRNA from 1 species